rnacentral:rRNA from 1 species
GACGAACGCUGGCGGCGUGCCUAAUACAUGCAAGUAGAACGCACAGUUUAUACCGUAGCUUGCUACACCAUAGACUGUGAGUUGCGAACGGGUGAGUAACGCGUAGGUAACCUGCCUGGUAGCGGGGGAUAACUAUUGGAAACGAUAGCUAAUACCGCAUAAUAUUAAUUAUUGCAUGAUAAUUAAUUGAAAGGUGCAAUUGCACCACUACCAGAUGGACCUGCGUUGUAUUAGCUAGUAGGUGAGGUAACGGCUCACCUAGGCGACGAUACAUAGCCGACCUGAGGGGGUGAUCGGCCGCACUGGGACUGAGACACGGCCCAGACUCCUACGGGAGGCAGCAGUAGGGAAUCUUCGGCAAUGGACGAAAGUCUGACCGAGCAACGCCGCGUGAGUGAAGAAGGUUUUCGGAUCGUAAAGCUCUGUUGUAAGAGAAGAACGGGUGUGAGAGUGGAAAGUUCACACUGUGACGGUAUCUUACCAGAAAGGGACGGCUAACUACGUG